UCGUCCUACGGGAGGCAGCAGUGAGGAAUAUUGGUCAAUGGGCGCAAGCCUGAACCAGCCAAGUCGCGUGAGGGAUGACGGUCCUAUGGAUUGUAAACCUCUUUUGUCGGGGAGCAAGGCCCGCCACGUGUGGCGGGAAGGAGAGUACCCGAAGAAAAAGCAUCGGCUAACUCCGUGCCAGCAGCCGCGGUAAUACGGAGGAUGCGAGCGUUAUCCGGAUUUAUUUGGGUUAAAGGGGGCGGAGGCGGACUGUUAAGUCAGCGGUAAAAGCCCGGGGCUCAAACCCGGCCCGC
rnacentral:rRNA from 1 species